AGGGAAUCUUCCACAAUGGACGAAAGCCUGACGGAGCAACGCCGCGUGAGUGAUGAAGGUCUUCGGGUCGUAAAAUUCUGUUGUAAGGGAAGAACGAGACAGGCAGGCAAUGGACAUAGCCUGACGGUACCUCAUGAGAAAGCCACGGCCAAAUACGAGCCAGCAGCCGCGGUAAUACGUAGGUGGCAAGCGUUGUCCGGAAUUAUUGGGCGUAAAGCGCGCGCAGGUGGUUUCUUAAGUCUGAUGUGAAAGCCCACGGCUUAACCGUGGAGGGUCAUUGGAAACUGGGAGACUUGAGUGCAGAAGAGGAAAGUGGAAUUCCAAGUGUAGCGGUGAAAUGCGUAGAGAUUUGGAGGAACACCAGUGGCGAAGGCGACUUUCUGGUCUGCAACUGACGCUGAGGCGCGAAAGCAUGGGGAGCAAACA
rnacentral:rRNA from 1 species